UGGGGAAUAUUGCACAAUGGGCGCAAGCCUAAUGCAGCCAUGCCGCGUGUAUGAAGAAGGCCUUCGGGUUGUAAAGUACUUUCAGCGGGGAGGAAGGUGUUGAGGUUAAUAACCUCAGCAAUUGACGUUACCCGCAGAAGAAGCACCGGCUAACUCCGUGCCAGCAGCCGCGGUAAUACGGAGGGUGCAAGCGUUAAUCGGAAUUACUGGGCGUAAAGCGCACGCAGGCGGUCUGUCAAGUCGGAUGUGAAAUCCCCGGGCUCAACCUGGGAACUGCAUUCGAAACUGGCAGGCUAGAGUCUUGUAGAGGGGGGUAGAAUUCCAGGUGUAGCGGUGAAAUGCGUAGAGAUCUGGAGGAAUACCGGUGGCGAAGGCGGCCCCCUGGACAAAGACUGACGCUCAGGUGCGAAAGCGUGGGGAGCAAACA
rnacentral:rRNA from 1 species